rnacentral:rRNA from 1 species
AGUGAACGCUGGCGGUAGGCCUAACACAUGCAAGUCGAACGGCAGCACAGUAAGAGCUUGCUCUUACGGGUGGCGAGUGGCGGACGGGUGAGGAAUACAUCGGAAUCUACUUUUUCGUGGGGGAUAACGUAGGGAAACUUACGCUAAUACCGCAUACGACCUACGGGUGAAAGCAGGGGAUCUUCGGACCUUGCGCGAUUGAAUGAGCCGAUGUCGGAUUAGCUAGUUGGCGGGGUAAAGGCCCACCAAGGCGACGAUCCGUAGCUGGUCUGAGAGGAUGAUCAGCCACACUGGAACUGAGACACGGUCCAGACUCCUACGGGAGGCAGCAGCGGGGAAUAUUGGACAAUGGGCGCAAGCCUGAUCCAGCCAUACCGCGUGGGUGAAGGAGGCCUUCGGGUUGUAAAGCCCUUUUGUUGGGAAAGAAAAGCAGCAGGUUAAUACCCCGCUGUUCUGACGGUACCCAAAGAAUAAGCACCGGCUAACUUCGUG